UACAGAGGUCUCAAGCGUUGUUCGGAUUCAUUGGGCGUAAAGGGUGCGUAGGCGGCGCGGUAAGUCGGGUGUGAAAUCUUGGAGCUUAACUCCGAAACUGCAUUCGAUACUGCCGUGCUUGAGGACUGGAGAGGAGACUGGAAUUUACGGUGUAGCGGUGAAAUGCGUAGAUAUCGUAAGGAAGACCAGUGGCGAAGGCCGGUCUCUGGACAGUUCCUGACGCUGAGGCACGAAGGCCAGGGGAGCAAACGGG
rnacentral:rRNA from 1 species